UGGGGAUUGAUUUACAAGAGACACUCACCACCAUGGAUGGAUCCAGCGGGUUUUUCUCUCUAGUAGGCGGGGUGGUGCAUCUCAGGAAGGCAGCUUGUUCAUCACUCAAAAAUGAGUACCCCUUACAUCCCUGAGUGGUACACAUGUAAUACCUGUCAGUGGUGGGGGUCUCUGUCUGGUCUUACAGAUUCUUUAAGGCAUUUUUGAGCUAUUCUGGGAUGUCGUUUCCCGGGCAAUGGCACAUGCUGUCUGGUCCGCACAUCUGCACGUGUUCUCAGUCCCGACACGCUGGUCCCGUGUAGUACAGCGUGUGCCUCCGCAGGGAAGGUGAUCGCUUGUAGCCAGGCAAGUCCCCUAUUGCCCGGAGCUGGGCAGGUUCUCUGUGACUUGUGGCCAAGCCAGUGUCUGGAAAAUGAUGUGGCUCUUCAUGGCAGAAAUAUUCAGGAGCAAACAGACUUUGAGACACCACCCCAUGGCUCAAAAUUUGCUGCUUCCUUGUCCAUGGUGGCAGGAAAGUAGCAAAAACAGGUAAGUAUGGAAAAGAGCUUAAUUUUAUACAGUCUUUAUGACUGUGGAUUCAGGCUUAGCCUGGUUUAACAUCCCCCUGCAGUGAAGCAUCUAUAAUUGGAUAUUUCAGUGAUUUAAAUGGGGAAGGAGUAACAAUAAUAUAACACCACAUAGCAUAUAAACCAGAAUGCAUUUAAUCCACAGGGCACCUGGAAGCCCAGAGGAGGGUUCAGCUUCCCAACUCUUCCGGGGUUGGACAGCAACACGGUCUAGCUUUCGUAUUGCCAUGGUGAUUUGCUUAACAACUUGGCCAUUGUCAGUCUUUAAACAACAAUUAGAAUAAUUUAGUUUACCACAGACCCACUUUUCUUUGGCUAACAAGUAAUCAAGAACCAUGCAAUGUUGGAAAAUCCACAAAUCCAAUAAUGGCCUUGCAGGGCGCAGGCACCAUUUGAAAAGGGACUCCAUUUACCUCCUUUGGGGCUGUCAUGAUAGGUGGUUGACCCAGUUCCAAAUGCUCCUGCCAUUAGCCUUGUUUUUGUUGCUGCACGAUUUUUUACCCCAUAGGUACAAUUCAAGGCCCCAACUUGGUUACUCCUCGUGCAGCUGCAUCCAUGCCAUCCCCAAUCAUCAUUAGUUAUGACAUUUGUGAAAGGCAAAACAUGGUGAAGCGUUUUUUGUUUCCACUUGUAUCAUACCAGUAACUGAGAUGGUGUAGAAGAGUUUUUGAAAGAAGGAGCUCACCAUCUGUAUCAGAAGUUAUCUAUGAACAAUCCUGUGCUUGACAUGACCCAGACUCAGCAGCAGAUCAAAGGUCAUAGAUAGUGAGGAACAAAGAAGUGACCUGAGCUGGUUAAAUGUUAUCUCUGCUGAGAUGAUAAUAUAGUGAAUGUCGCCAGCGCGCUGGACAAUGCAUGGACAACUGCGAAUGCCUUAUCACCUUGGGGGGUGGGAUGCGUGAUUGCUUUGUAUUAACCAACCAUAUGUCUGUUGCUACGCCUGAGCCUGCUGUAGAGAAUAUAAAAACCGUGCUAGUAGUUUAUUAAAUUGACUUUGACUGCACCUCA